rnacentral:lncRNA from 1 species
UGUCCUCAGAAUACAAAGAACCACAGUCUGAACUGUGCCAGCUCUGCCUUGAGGGUAGUCCAAGGAGAUGGGUUAGAAAUGGAUUUGCAGAGUUUUUCAGCUCCAGGUUUCUGGAGAUCAGCCAGGCCUUGGCAUACUUGAAAGCAAUUAGGGAAAACAAAACAAAGCAAAGAGCAGGUCAAUGUAAUAUUGCUGAGAGCUUGGCGCAGGCCAUUUAUUGUCUGAAUUAACCUUUCACACCAUUUUUUGAUAAAGUUGAUGCUGUGCUGCUGAGAAAACAACAUUUUUUCUCUUGUUUGUGAGGAGAAUCUGAGACUGAAUGUUUCCUGAGGGCACGCCAAAAACAAAGGGAAAGGAAAACAAGAGGCCAAGGACAGAGCAAGAUCUCCCUUUUAAAUUUCUGUAGAGGACCUACUACCAUGGAGCUGACAUUAGAGCUCUUCUGUUAAGCUUUUAGUGACACAAUAUUACCUGUAGAAAAUGAAGAAGCGCAAGAUAACACCUGAGAGGCUGUCCUGUCCAACUCAAGAGCUUUGCCAGAACCAAGGCUUAAAAAAAUUCAGAGCAGGUGAAUGUAUUUCAGACCUCUGUCAUUUGUCAUACUGUUCAUAUUCUGUGCCUUUUUUGGUUUUAAAGACCUGCAAUCUCACUGCGUUUGUUUU